rnacentral:lncRNA from 1 species
UUCCAAGGCCUUGAUUUAACAACUGUUGCUGGGAGAAAGUUCUUUGAAUCAUUCUGAUUAAGAAAUCUGCUUCUCCUUUCACAAGUGGCCAUCAAGAACAGCUGGUUUUCUAAGAGGCUUCCGAGAUUUGAAAAACGGUGGCUAAUGAUGACAACAGCAACAGCACUGAGCACAGAAAACUCCACAGGCCUGGGCUCGGCUCAUCGCACAGCCUCCAUCUCUGGAUGCCCUGAUUCAAGGAGAUUCAAAACCCGUGUCACUGCUGCCAUCUUCCUAGAAUCCCUUUAAAUCCUCAUGGAUUUGCUGACAUUGGGAGCAUCCUGAAAGAGUCCCCAUGCUAGGGUGGCUGCAGUAACAGGUUCUCCCCACUCCAGAAAAAAUCAAAUCAGAUUGUGAAUUUAUUCCCUGACAUUAACACACGGCAUUACAGGAGCAUGUACAUCACAUGGUCAAUUUAUUGGCAUGAGGAUUAUGUCAUCGGGGAAUAAAUGGGAAAUUCUCAAGGUACUUUGCU